ensembl:lncRNA
CAAACAAAAUUAUUCAGUGCUUCACCAUAUCAACAGAAAGACUUUCAGGACAAAUUUAAUCAUGUUUUUAGCCUUUUGUUCUGGUUUAUAAACAGCUUUUCAAGUCUCUGAAAAUGCAAUAUAUAUGUAUAUGUAAAUAUCACAUCGAGAAACAGAUUGUGUGCAUUGGCUAGGCUAGGCACAAAUUUAAUAUUUAUCUCCUGGCUUCAAUCCAAGAAUUCAUUUAACUUACUCGUGCUGAUGACUAGAUAAGUAUUUAGUGGAUUGGGGCCUAGAAAGGGAAUGCUUUUUUUAAUUUCUUUUUUUUUUCCUUUUUUUUUGUCUUUUCCCCAGUCCUAAACUUGCAAUGCUUGCCUGGUUUUUAUAUGUCUGAAAGUUGUGUCAGGAAAUGUAAUUUACCUUUUAAUUUUUUUUCUUUGCUCAGAGGAGCAGGACAAAGCAGUACAAAUAAAAAUGUGAUACAGAAUAUUAAGAUGAAGCUAAAUUAAUUAUGAAAAAUACAAUUCAGCAGCUUAGGAGGCAUUUUUUUUUUCUUACUGAAUGUAUGGGAACUACUGAGUCACAGACUGAACCACUGAUUGAUCACCUGAGGCAAGGGCUGAGUCAGCCCUGGGAGCACAGGUGAAGGCAAUUCACCUGUUUGACCAGAAGGGGUGGAGCCUAGCUGCACCUCUCCUAGAUCUGUUUAAAGGCUGACUGAAGCUGCAGAAGGAUUUCUUUCUGGAGAUUCUUCCUUUGGAGUCUUCUACUGUGAUCCUAGGACACGGCCGAAAUGGGACAGGGUUUAUUGAUGGGCUUUCCUUCUGGAUUCCAUUGGCUUGAAGAGGUGGGGUUCUGUAAAGGAAGAAGAACUGAAGUCCAGAACAAUCAUCACUGGGCAUUUCUCAAACACAAGGCUUUCACCUCUGUAUCCGUAUGUAUAUAUUUAUAGAAGCAGCAUUGAAAAAGAAAAGCUUUUUCAAUGCUGCUUAUUUUGAACUUAGAUCUGAUGUACUUUGGUUUAGAUUCUAGAUGGGAACUUUUAUUGAUCAAAU